UCCGGACGAAGAGAUUUUGAUCCUCGAUAGAUUCGAGCCACACACCAAGGCGGAGGUUAAUUUUUUUCGACGUUUUGUACUGGUUGGCACGGCCGGGGUGACAGCGAUGCGCAGAUUAUUCGUGUUGAAUUAAGAUGUGCGUCUAAUUUAGCACGUCAUGAUCGUGCGUUUCGCGGUUACCACUUUGGAAUGUCGCGAACUGCAUAUUGCAUUGCAUCUCGGGGUGAGAGAUAUGUCUCCAACUCUCCAUGGCACCCGUACGUGCGAUAUUUUUCUCCUGAACGGCGGUACUACUUUAGAACGCUAACGUCCAAGGGCUACAACGAAGGCAAACUUAGAGUAUCAUUUUUUUUUACAGCGAACGUAGAGUUUUUUUUUUUUGACGGCAUAAAACCUCUUGAUUGAUUGAUUCGGAACAAUAGUUACAUCCGGAUAAGAAAAGGUUGAAUGCUAGCGGGGGGAGCUAAACCAAGAAUAAAUUAGCUCAUAUUUCGUCAAUUGUGCUAACUCAUGAGUUACAAAAUUAGACUAUCGAAAACAAUGAGAAAUUUCAAAUUGAGAUAAACCCUCAAUGAUACUAAAACAGUCCUCAUAUAUAGCGUCCGCCGUGCUCAGAGAAUGGCUACCAGAGGAAAUUGCCUGGAGAACAUCAGAGGAAUCAGAGUUCACGAUCACCCGGAAGCACCUAGAGAGAGUUGCCAGUUCAAUCCCGAUAUGGACGGCGUGAGCUUCGGCUGCUUCCACGUCCCCAACCAAGUCAGUUUUCCACGUGGCAGUAGAGAUAAAAUUCCCAUGAUAGUCCCGGAUCACAGCCCUGUUGAAGCCCGUAAAGUAUCUG
rnacentral:lncRNA from 1 species